rnacentral:tRNA from 1 species
ACCAAUGGCUCCCAAAGCUAAAAUCCUACAUUAGACUAUUCUUCGAU